GCCUGAAUAGCUCAGUUGGUAGAGCAGCGCAUUCGUAAUGCGAAGGUCUUCGGUUCGACUCCGGAUUCAGGCA
rnacentral:tRNA from 1 species